rnacentral:rRNA from 1 species
UGGGGAAUAUUGCGCAAUGGAGGAAACUCUGACGCAGCGACGCCGCGUGGGUGAUGAAGGUCUUCGGAUCGUAAAGCCCUGUCGGAAGGGAAGAAAAACACGGAAGCUAAUAUCCUCCGUGCUUGACGGUACCUUUAAAGGAAGCACCGGCUAACUACGUGCCAGCAGCCGCGGUAAUACGUAGGGUGCUAGCGUUGUUCGGAAUCAUUGGGCGUAAAGCGAGUGCAGGCCGUUAGUUAAGUCGGAUGUGAAAUCCCUGGGCUCAACCGAGGAAGUGCAUUCGAAACUAACUAGCUAGAAGAUGGUAGAGGAAGGUGGAAUUCCAAGUGUAGAGGUGAAAUUCGUAGAUAUUUGGAGGAAUACCGGUGGCGAAGGCGGCCUUCUGGACCAUUCUUGACGCUGAGACUCGAAAGCGUGGGUAGCAAACAGGAUUAGAUACCCAAGUAGUCCCUGAGCGGGCUGGCAAGGCGCAU